CAGGAUAGUAGGAAAUCUGUGUGUGGGAAGAGCUAAAAUAGAUGAAAAGAGCUUCUUUGGACCUUUUAAGUUGCAUUAUCCCAUAAAAUGUGGUGGAUUCAAUGUUGUAUGGCCUGUAAAACUAAGUAAUGAAGGCUGAUAUGUACCCACCUGGCUCUGUCUUGGGAUCACACAACUUGGGAGCCAAAACAGGUGAGGAUGGGGAGGUGUCAAACAAGACCUAACCUCUCAACAAUCAGCUGGACACUGUUGUGUAAGAAUGUGAAGCUUGGCACUGCUGCAGCCAUCUUGUUCCAGGAAGGGUAAAACCUGAGGUUAGAAGCCAACAUCCUAAUGAUGGCAGAGAAGACAAAGAGAACCAGAGUCUAAAUGACAUUGUUGAGUUAGAUCACUACACUACCUCUAGUCUUCUUUUUAUGUGUGAUAAUAAAUCUCACUUAUACUUAAGCCAUUUGAAGUUGAGUCUAAUGUUCAUUUCAGACCAAAGCAGCUUAACUGACAUGUUCUCCGCUUUGUUACCCUAUCCAGUUGUUUUCAUGCAGGAAAUAAAUCUCAAAU
rnacentral:lncRNA from 10 species